UACGAAGGGGGCGAGCGUUGUUCGGAAUUACUGGGCGUAAAGGGCGCGUAGGCGGCCGAUCAAGUCAGAUGUGAAAGUCCUGGGCUUAACCUGGGGACUGCAUUUGAUACUGAUUGGCUUGAAUUCGGGAGAGGAUAGCGGAAUUCCCAGUGUAGAGGUGAAAUUCGUAGAUAUUGGGAAGAACACCGGUGGCGAAGGCGGCUAUCUGGACCGACAUUGACGCUGAGGAGCGAAAGCAUGGGGAGCGAACAGG
rnacentral:rRNA from 1 species